GUGGGGAAUAUUGGACAAUGGGCGAAAGCCUGAUCCAGCCAUGCCGCGUGUGUGAAGAAGGUCUUCGGAUUGUAAAGCACUUUAAGUUGGGAGGAAGGGCAGUAAGUUAAUACCUUGCUGUUUUGACGUUACCGACAGAAUAAGCACCGGCUAACUUCGUGCCAGCAGCCGCGGUAAUACGAAGGGUGCAAGCGUUAAUCGGAAUUACUGGGCGUAAAGCGCGCGUAGGUGGUUUUGUAAGUUGGAGGUGAAAUCCCCGGGCUCAACCUGGGAACUGCCUCCAAAACUGCAUGACUAGAGUACGGUAGAGGGUAGUGGAAUUUCCUGUGUAGCAGUGAAAUGCGUAGAUAUAGGAAGGAACACCAGUGGCGAAGGCGACUACCUGGACUGAUACUGACACUGAGGUGCGAAAGCGUGGGGAGCAAACAGGAUUAGAUACCCCUGUAGUCC
rnacentral:rRNA from 1 species